AGUGAACGCUGGCGGUAGGCCUAACACAUGCAAGUCGAACGGCAGCACAGUAAGAGCUUGCUCUUACGGGUGGCGAGUGGCGGACGGGUGAGGAAUACAUCGGAAUCUACUUUUUCGUGGGGGAUAACGUAGGGAAACUUACGCUAAUACCGCAUACGACCUACGGGUGAAAGCAGGGGAUCUUCUGACCUUGCGCGAUUGAAUGAGCCGAUGUCGGAUUAGCUAGUUGGCGGGGUAAAGGCCCACCAAGGCGACGAUCCGUAGCUGGUCUGAGAGGAUGAUCAGCCACACUGGAACUGAGACACGGUCCAGACUCCUACGGGAGGCAGCAGUGGGGAAUAUUGGACAAUGGGCGCAAGCCUGAUCCAGCCAUACCGCGUGGGUGAAGAAGGCCUUCGGGUUGUAAAGCCCUUUUGUUGGGAAAGAAAAGCAGCAGGUUAAUACCCCGCUGUUCUGACGGUACCCAAAGAACAAGCACCGGCUAACUUCGUG
rnacentral:rRNA from 1 species